CUGUCUCAUACCUGGUUCUGUGAGGAAGACUGAGAAGGAUAUAGAGGGUACCAGUCCCACCUUAUCUAGCAGUCACUUCUAGGAAUCACAAGUUGAGAGAGUCCUGUGCAGUUUCUUGGAUUUCAUCUUGUUGUUGCUUUUAAGAUCUCUUCAUCCACAUUUCUGCCUACUGCCUUCAACAUGUUUCAUGAGAGAAUUCCUUCCGGUCUCAGCAUUGAACGAGAUUUUAUGGACCCAGUUGAAUCACCAGAAGCACUGAUUUUACUGAUUCCUAUGGAUGACUUGGAAGAUGGUGUGGAAGAAAUAAUCGAAAUAUAUGAAGAAAUAGGGGAUGACAGCGGAGAGGAGGAGGGAGAAGUGGGAGAGGAAGAGCUGGUGGUGGAGGAGUUGGUGGAGGAGUUGGUGGAGGAGGAAGAAAUAGAGCUGGUAAUAGGAAAAUAUAUUGCUGAGAAUGAGGAGUAGAAAUGAGAAAUAAGAAAAAGAGGAGGAAGAGAAAGCAGAGGAGGAAGAGGAGGAGAAAAGGAUUCAGUGAAAUAAACCUUUACUUGCCAAGCUCAUGCAAGAAAACAAAAAAUGUUAACAAAUCUAUAAUAAAGUUUGCUUACUGGUUUAUUUACUU
rnacentral:lncRNA from 1 species